AGACACUGAGGGCUUAAUCCCUGUUGUUUAGAUCUAAAAUGCCCACCCCCGGAAGUCUCCCGUGUUCAGAGGUGGGGCUUUUGGAAGGUGAUUGGAUCAUGAGGGUUCUGUACUUAUCAGGGGAUUAAUCCAUUGCUUUUGGGCCCACAGCUGCAUAUGGUGUAGAAAGUGGGACCUAGUUGUAAGAGGUGUAUUUUUGUCCUUGGCUCCUCCCCUGUCUUUCUGCUUCCUAAGUGCUAUGGGUUGAACAGCUUUCCAGCAUGCCAUUUCUGCCUCGAAGCCGGCUGCCAUGUGUAGGUUGAACCUUUGAAAACCAGGAGGCAAAAUAAACCUUCCCUUCUGUGUGGGUGUCAAGUAUUUUUGCCCCAGCCACAGAAAAGUGACAAAUACAGUUCUCAAUACAGCCGUGUUCAGAGGCGGAGCCUAGAAAAGUGAUUGAUUGGAUCACAAGGGCUUUAACUUCAUCAGUGAAUUAAUCACCUUUAUGAGAUCAUAAUUUUGAUGACAUUGGCGGUGGAUGAUGGAAACUGGAGGUGGGACUUAGUUUAAGGGAGCCAAUCAUGAGGACAUAACCUAGUCCUUUAUCUGUGAGAUCAAAACCAAACCAGGGCCGAGGAUGUAGCUCAGCAGCACAGCACCUGCCUGGCAAGCAUGAGGUCCUGAGUUCAAUCCCCAUCGGUUCCAAAAACAACAACAACAACAAACCAAACCAACAACAACCACACAGGAGCAGGGAUAACAAAGCUAACAGCUCCUGGAAAGAAAGACAACAAAGGCAAAAGCUAAAAGGCUCAGUAAAGGAUGAAGACGGGACUUCUUCAUCUCCACACUCUGUUCUCAGGCCUUGCAGCCCAGCCUCCUGUCCCACUCCAUGAGUUAGAAGAGUUCCAGUCUUGGCUUCUUUCUUCCCAGAAGGCCUUUGGGUUCCUUGAGCAAAUUACUUCUCCUGAAAGCAUCCCAGGCUUGCCCUGCUGCCAGGUGAAGGUGUGGGUCAGGCGUGCAUCCCUUUGAGAAACACCCCCUUGGAGGAUUCCAGAAACAGAGUCUCCUGCAGCCAGAGCAUUGAGAAUACAGCCCAAGCCCACUGCCAAGAGGGAGGGGGCAAAGAAAGAUUUGAAGCUUGCAUUAGCUGGGAGUAAGCCUGCAAUGGCUUCAGAGAAAAGGCAGAAACAAAGGCCUGAGAGAGUCUUUUCAUACCCUGCAUUAAAGAUAAAAUCUAAUUUAGAUGAAAAUGGAUGCAUAGAAAUUAAAUGUGUGCGUGUGUGGUUUUUGUUGUCAAGCCAUAUAUCCUGUAAUGAUAGCUUUACUAAAUUUAUUCCCUUGCCUUGAAAAUAAAGAUGCUUUUUGAAAU
rnacentral:lncRNA from 1 species